rnacentral:rRNA from 1 species
AGUAAUACAUCGGAACGUGUCCUGUCGUGGGGGAUAACCAGUCGAAAGACUGGCUAAUACCGCAUGAGAUCGAGAGAUGAAAGCAGGGGACCGCAAGGCCUUGCGCGAUUUGAGCGGCCGAUGUCGGAUUAGCUUGUUGGCGGGGUAAAAGCCCACCAAGGCGACGAUCCGUAGCUGGUUUGAGAGAACGACCAGCCACACUGGGACUGAGACACGGCCCAG